AUGCUUUAGGGAUGAACAUGUCCCUUAUACUAUGCAUCCACCUAAGUCAUUUUGUAAGCUCUGUUUUUUCAAAUAUUUUGCUGAUCAUUAUAGGAUGAAAUGUUU